AACGAACGCUGGCGGCGCGCCUAAUACAUGCAAGUCGAACGAGAAGGUGUAGCAAUACACUUGUACAGUGGCGAACGGGUGAGGAAUGCAUGGGCAACCUACCCUCGAGUGGGGAACGAACCAGCCGAAGGUUAGGCUAUACCGCGUACGCUUCCGGUCUCCGGAUCCGGAAGGAAAGUCACACCGUGGGUGUGACGCUCAAGGAUGGGCGUCAUGUCCUAUCAGCUUGNGGUUGAGGUAACGGCUCACCAAGGCAACGACGGGUAGCUGGUCUGAGAGGACGAUCAGCCACACUGGCACUGCGACACGGGCCAGACUCCUACGGGAGGCAGCAGUAAGGAAUAUUGCGCAAUGGGCGAAAGACCUGACGCAGCGACGCCGCGUGGGGGAGU
rnacentral:rRNA from 1 species